GGGGAAUAUUGCGCAAUGGGGGAAACCCUGACGCAGCAAUACCGCGUGAGUGAAGAAGGUUUUCGGAUCGUAAAGCUCUGUUAUUGGGGAAGAAAAAAAGACGGUACCCAAGAAGAAAGUCCCGGCUAACUACGUGCCAGCAGCCGCGGUAAUACGUAGGGGACAAGCGUUGUCCGGAUUUACUGGGCGUAAAGGGCACGCAGGCGGUUUUUUAAGUCAGAUGUGAAAGGUACCGGCUCAACCGGUGACAUGCAUUUGAAACUACCGGGCUAGAGUGUGUCAGAGGGAGGUGGAAUUCCGCGUGUAGCAGUGAAAUGCGUAGAUAUGCGGAGGAACACCGAUGGCGAAGGCAGCCUCCUGGGAUAACACUGACGCUCAUGCACGAAAGCGUGGGGAGCAAACA
rnacentral:rRNA from 1 species